rnacentral:rRNA from 1 species
GUCAGCCUGCCCAGUGGACCCUGUUCAACGGCCGCGGUAUCCUAACCGUGCAAAGGUAGCGUAAUCACUUGUUUUCUAAAUAAAGACUAGUAUGAAAGGCAUCACGAGGAAUAAGCUGUCUCCUUUUUCUAAUCAGUGAAUCUAAUCUCCCCGUGAAGAAGCGGGGAUUAAGAUAUAAGACGAGAAGACCCUGUGGAGCUUAAGACUUUAUAACAUCUACCUACCUCUCCUGCUACCCUGGUUAUUCUUCUAAAUGGUAUUUUAAUUGUACGUCUUUGGUUGGGGUGACCGCGGAGAAAAACUAACCCUCCACAAUGAAAGGGCUUUCCACCCCCCUAAACAGUAAGCUACAGCUUUAUGUAUCAAAAAAUUGACAUGUUGACCCAAUAAGUUGAUCAAUGAACCAAGUUACCCCAGGGAUAACAGCACAAUCCGCUUUGAGAGCUCAUAUCGACAAGCGGGCUUAUGACCUCGAUGUUGGAUCGGGGUAUCCCAGUGGUGUAGCCGCUACUAAAGGUUUGUUUGUUCAACAAUUAAAACCCC